rnacentral:lncRNA from 1 species
ACCCCAUCUCACACAUCUUCUUCACGCCCCACUUCUCUUUCGAAACCCUAGCCGCGCCGCCAUGAAAUCCCUAGGCUGCCGGUGGCGGCGCCGAUGCCAAUCACUCCCAAACAUACACCCCUCACUCUCCUCACUCUCCUCUUUCCAUCCAUGCUAACAAUUUCCCUCAAAUCAAGUUCAGCUCCUCGAAUAUGCAUUUGAAAUUUAAGUCCAAAUUACAAAAUCGUCCAAAUAAUCCCAAAUUGAUACCAGAUAGUCUCCUCAUCUACCUUUUCACAAAUAUGUGGUUAUUUUCUUUCGAAUUUCACCAGGUCGCCUCCAAUUUCAAAUCUAGGGUUCCAAAUUUUUCUGCCAUUUGGAAGUUUCACUCUCGGAUGAUUUUGAUGAAUAUUAUGAGUUUAUCUUGACAAAGAUAAACCCAUAAUAUUACUUAGAAUUUAUUCCCAGAAAUCAAAUAAGCUCGGAUUAUUCAGUAAGUCAUUUUCCCAAUUUUAGUUUCGAUUAGUUCGAUUUUUAUUCUAUCUUUUAACUAAGCGUAGUUCUAAUUUAUGUAUAGUUUAGUUAGUAAUUUGUUUGUGUGGUAGUUCUGUUGAUUAGAAUUAUUAGUAAUGCAUGUUUCUAUGAGUUUCUUAGGUUAAUUUUCAUUCUGUUGUUUAGCUUGUUUUGUCCCGAUCACUUUUAGUCAGUCGAUCGAUUAGGUGUUAAUUCAGGUUUAAUUAGCUCUUGUUCAGUUUUAGUCAGUCAAUUAUUAGUUGUUAAUUCCGGUUUGAUUAGCUCAAUUGAUUGGUUUAAGUUAAAUAAUUUUUUUAUAUAAACUAUAGGUUCUUGUUAAAUUUGAAGUCCAUACUGAAUUUGUUAUUUGAUUAAUUAGCUUAAUAAGUUGUUCAGUUUUGAUAUUAUCAACUGGAUGCUUUAUUAGAGUUUUAGGACUUAGUUUGGAUUAUAGAUGAAGAUGCUUUGGUUGAGAAGUAAUUUUAGGAGGUAAUAAGGGUAGUUUGGGCAUUGGAAAAUGGUAGUUUCUUUAGGAAUAGUAAUUUCAAAGUAGGGAAAGGGUUGUAUAGGAAUUGUAAUGGGUAGAAGACCACCCUAGGACCUUCUAGAAUGGUACUUUAGUGUAGAUUUUAGCACAAUAGAGGUACUUGCUUGAUAAGCAAGUCAAAAAUAAGGGGACCAAACCGAAAUUAAGGGAGGACUAAAAAAGAAAAUCAAAAAUCUAAUUCACCCCCCUCUUUUGUUGCCUAUAAAAGGGCUUUAAGAUGCCUUGGGGAAGGGUCUUUAUCCGGUGCCCCAAAAGUUCACACCAAAACUCUCUUUUUUCCUUUUAAUUUCAAGUUAGCGUUUGAAUUCAAAUAUUAAAAAAUACAAAAACAUUCAGAAAUAGAAAAACCAAAAACAUUUCUACUGUUUCAUUGAUUAGUGAGUGAUUUCCAGUUUUCUCCUUUGGUAUGCUGCCUCCCAGCUUGAGGGUUUAGUUCUAAGGGUAUUCACAGGUGGUUAAUGGUUGCUCCAGUAAACUUUGAGCCUAUAAGUGUAAAUGACAGUUGGGUUUGGGGUCCAGUAGAGUCUCAAAAGCAUUUAAGGGCUAUAAGUGCGUCUCAAGUGUGUGAGGAACUGAUCUAUUGAAUCUGCCUGCAUUUUGCUUUCAAAAAUCAUCUCUUGGCUUAUUCUGUGGUGCUGUGAAACUGAGUUUGACUGCUGUUGCAGUUUGAAGUAAUUGGCCUCUAUUCUUCUCAUACUAUUUAGGUACACAAUCGAAUCCUAAGUUGAUGUAAUAUUUAGGUGGGCGCAUGAAAUGAAUUGGAUAUAUGUUGCAACUUUUCUCUCAUGUUGGUCCAUAUUAUACAUUAGAUGGAUUUUAUCUGUGACAGAUUAUUCAUUGUAUUGAAUUACAUGAAUUGUAUUAUAGGAUUGUAGAUAUGAGUUCUAUUCUUUUAAAAUGGGCAGUGUUAAUGUAAUAUUGAAUUUCCACUAGCUAGAGCUCAAUGUGACUCUUAAAACUCCUGAGUUAAUUGGAGUGUUUGAAUCCACUAUUGCGAUUUAAUUUCUAGCAAGUAUAAAAGAGUUCAUGUUUGCAUGUUUAUCCCAGUAGUCCCCAUUAGUUAACUAUUGACUAAUUAGAGUUGGAAUUGAUUUCGUCGUUUGGUGUUAGAUAGGAAACUUCAGUCUAUUCCUGCUUUGGGUAAUCAUUAGCUAAAAAUAAAUAGUUCAUUUGUCUCCCAUAUGGUUUGAAACUAGUACUUGAAGAAACUCAGCAUUUAACAUGAAAAUAAUAUGUGUGGUUGGAUAUAAUAAUUAGAACGUUGAGAAAACUGAUAUUUAUGCCUCCAUUGGGACUCGAACACUAGAGUUCUUCUUGUGUGCAAGGCGAAUAGACCCAAUGUGGGUUCAAAAUACCACCGUCUGGGCCUAUGUCUCACUCACGCUGGGCCUAGCUGAUGCUUUAAGAUUCACGUUGUUGAUUUAAUAUGAAGUUGGGUUUCGAAUUAGGUGGCGGGCUUAAAUUAAAAGGUUCUUCCUUUUGUUUAGGCCCGGACAUGAACUCGGAACCCGAAUUCGAAUGUAAUUAAUCAUUUAGGAUUUUCUCUUUCAUUUAGAGACAAAAUAAAAAAAUAGAAAUAUAGUUGCUUUUAGGAUUGCCCUUUAAAAUCAAAUGAGAUGAGACUCGCCCAAUGGAAUACAAAAUUGUGGGGCCCUCAAUAGAGGUUUUAAAAAUGUUUAGAAAAUCAAGAAGGGUCGUUUAGCGAAAUUUACGGCCCUCCCAAAAGAUAACAACGCGUUAGACUCUUUAGACGCGAUUCUAAUAAAAUUACCUCCUUAAACUCAGUUGUGCAUUUCAUGUGACCCAAAUCAAAUUCCAAAAUGUUAAGUAGGGUGUGCUUAGGAUUGCGGGUGCAUUUCAUGUGACGCGAUCCGAAGGCAGGCUUUAAACGACGUUCAACUUUCUUUUUAAAAAUACAUAUUAAAUAAAAGCGGUUCAAAAGUAAAAGUUGGCACAUAGGUUCUUCAUAUAAUUAAAUUGGAUAAUAAUCUAAAUGCAAUAGUUGAGUGACCGUGCUAGAACCGCGGAACUCGGGAAUGCUUAACACCUUCUCUCCGGUUAACAGAAUUCCUUAUCCGAAUUUCUGGUUCGUGGAUUGUUAACAGAGUCAUCUUUUCCUCGAUUUGGAAUUCAACCGGUUACUUGGGACACUAGUAAUCUCUCAAGUGGAAACUUUGAAUAAUUAAAUAAUUAAAUCUCGUUCCGGUUGUCCUUUAAGUGGAAAAACUCAUUUAUGCUCUGGCGGGUGUAAUGAAAAAAGAGGUGUGACAACUCUGGCGACUCUGCUGAGGCAGAGAACCCAGAACUUUUGUUCAGGAUUCAGAAUUCGAGCUUAGAUAAAUUGUUGUGUUUGCGUUAUCUGAUUUUGUUACAUGAUAUGUGCCUAAUGUACUAAUUGACUGCUUUUACCACUUUGAUAUUAAGUGAACUGUAUAUAAACUAUGCCGAAACCUAUCUCCUUUCUGAGUCUUCUAAAUCAUGAAGAAUGAUGCACUUAGUAUGACUUGUUUUCUGCAUAGUGUCUAAUUCCCAAAUUAGAACGAGGUUUGGAUAAGUUGCAAAGCCGGCAAAGCUUUUGAAUUCCUGGUACAGUACUUCCCCCUUGGCUCGAGUUGUCCGCUCGGCUAAGCCAGGUUUAGAACAAACACCCAGGUUCUAAGCCUAGAAUAACACAACUUAUGUCAGAUCCCUAGUAGGGACGUUUAUCUGCAUCAUGUGCAUUUCUGACUUAGGAGACUCAACAAAGGGGCUGGGUCCAUCUAGAGCUAGCAGCCUAAAACGAAAAAGACCAUCCUGACUCAACAAAGGGGUUGGGUCCAGCCUUGAAAGCUUUUUUUUUCGGACCUGCAUUUUGACCGGAUUUUGAAUCUCGAGAAUGUUAGAAAAUUAAGAAAAAGAGAAAAAUAGCAGUUGGAGAGUUAACUGAUAGAAUUUAAAGAAAAAACCAAUGCUCACAUACUCUGCCGAAAUUUUGAAAAAAUUGAAAAGAGAAUAUUUUGUGUUUGAAUUGUUUGUGUUACCCAGAAAAGCAAAAAAAAAAAAAAGUGAAAAGAGUCCUUUCUUUAGUUGUCUUGUUUUCAAAACUGGAAGAGAAAAAUAUAGUUUAUUUGCCAUGGAAAAUGAGAAAGAAAAAAGUCUCGAUUUUUGGUUGCCAACGGAAAUGAAAAUAGGUUAUUUGCCUGAUUGUUGAAAAGAAAAAGUGUCUUUUAUUUUUAGUUUGGAAAAUAGGUUAUUUGUUGGAAAGGAAAAAGAAAAAGAGUCUUGUUUUAAAAAGUAGUUUUUUUAUAUUUGAAAUGACAAAAAUGAAAAUGGAAAAGAGUCAUGUUUUAAAAUAGUUCGGUUAAUUUGCCCGAACUAUGCAGGUUUGAUUCUCACAGGGCGUGAGAUACUUAGGCAACCCUUAUCGGGUCCAACCUUCCCUUAUCAAAAAUAGCCCAAAAAUGUCAAAAUUUUAAUUUUUUACAUAAAUAAACCAGGUGGUGCCGUUUUUUGUCAAAAAUAGCCAAAUGUUCCCAACCGGGGCGCUGGAAGGCUGACUUUGCACAAACAUCCACCUUGGUCAUAAUUUUAAUUUUGACCCUAACAGCCUUAAAAUCUUUGCCCCGAGGCGCUGGAAGGCCGUGUUUGCAAUACCGGAUCAUUUAUUUAAUUUGAAAAACAAGAAAAAAGAGUUAGUGGUCAAGUGAAUAUUGUUCGGAUUUUUGGUCAAAAUUAGCAUAUAGGUGAAAGAAUCUGUCAUUUGUUUCUUGGUUUGUAUUUCUUUUUAUUAGAGUAUAUGGAUCGUUUAAUUUUUGAUUCCGUAUUUCAUCGUUAAGUUGGUAAGUUUUGUUGUUAUUAUGAAAAUAGAAAAUUCCAAAAUAUAUUUUAUUAUAGUUUACCUUUUAUUUACACGAAUUACGUACGGUCUGAUUCAUGUGGGGUCAUGAUACCUAGGCAAUCUCCAUAAGAUUCGACCACAACCAAAAAAAAAAAAAGAGAAAAAAAAGUAAAAGAAAAAAAUGAAAAAUGGAAAAGAGAAAUUGAAAAAUGCAAAAAGAUGUUGUUAAUAAUGAGGAACGACUCAAUCCAUUCUAACAUGUUUUGUUUUGAAUUAUGAAGAAAGUUGAGGUGGUCGGGUUGUGGUAAGCUAGAAAUACAAGAUUUGAGGAAAAAUGAUAACUGACAUCGAAGCUGUUACAAGUGCUCAAGAGACUCGAGGUAAGAGGGUUGAACUAGAGUCUACGGUGUUUGGGGGAAAAUAGAACACCGAAACAGAAUUUGACUUAAAUACAUCAAGCAUGGGCCAAUGGUCAAGGACAGCCUUGUCACGAGUCACGAUUUUCUACAUAGCAAGAACGGUACCACUCGUACUCGUUUGAGCUUCCUGCAAACAUCGAGAAGCCUGCUCAAAAGAGGGUACAAGAAGAAAUAAUCCAAAAAGUGAAAAGAUUUGAAUAACGGUUGAAAACCACGCAAGCAAUGGUAGGUCAAAAGAGUGUUGCCUUAAGAUAUCUACGCAUGUUCCUCGAUGUCCACUUGUCGCCUGGUUUCAAGGUUCCCAAAUUUGAAAAGUACAAUGGACAUAGAGACCCCAUAGCCCACCUAAUAAGGUAUUGCAACCGAUCGAGAGGUAUGGGAAGAAAUAAAAAAUUUCAUAUAGCUGAUUUUGGGGAAAUCCUCUCGGGAGUAGCAUCUAAAUGGUUUUUGGAUCAAGACACAUCUUUCUGAUACGUCAGGGAUGACAUGGCACGGGCCUGUGUCAAAUAGUUUCAAUACAACAUCGACAUUUCCCUGGACCGCAUUUCCCUUCUAACCUGAAAAAGAAACCAACUGAAAGUUUCAGGGAACAUGCCAUCAAAUCGAGAGAGCAGGCAGCUAGAGCUAAGCCACCCAUGGAUGGUCACGAGAUAAUCACUUUCUUUCUACAGGCUCAAGAGCCAAAUUAUUUGAAAUACAUGACAUCUUCAGUGGGUAAAUCCUUCUCGGAAGCAAUAAAAAUGGGAGAAAUGGUGGAGAACGGUCUUAAGACAAGUAGAAUUAUAAGUCAAACAGCUCUCAAAGAUGCAACUCAAGCUGUACAAAUUGAAUCUGGUAACAUGAAUGAGAGGGAUGAGGAAAUCAUGAUGAUAUUAGGGUCGAGAAGAGUUCCUAGGAGAGCAUCUCGAAGGUAUGUGCAGCCUUAUUAGGUUUUCCAUGACUCCCCUAAGCAUUAUUAUCCACCUCCGAAUCCCCAUACUCUGUUGAUCCAUCCCAGCCAUCAAAUUACCCAAGAAGGCGAGCACGAACAUCACGAAAUCUCUACCAGCCUCCGCAAAAUUUUCAAGUACCUUAUAGCCCACAUCCAAGACGGGGGUAUAGAAGGGAACAAAAGUGGAAAGAUAGUUUUACACCAAUAUGAGGGUCCUAUGCAAGCUUAAGUUAAAAUAACAUGACAUGAUUGCACCCAUUUUUUCAAAUCAGUGGACCGACGUGCGAGAAGCUUUGACUAAUCUAAAGGGUGUACAUACCACUCUAAUGCUCUGGGACACAAUGUGAAAAAUUAUCGGGAUUUGAAAAGAGAAAUAGAAAGGAUGAUCCAGGAAAAUUUGAUUCAAGACAGUGGCACCUAGAAUAUCACACUGCAUCCCUUACAUAGGGAGGCACACUUGGUAGGGAUGAUGCCCUAUGACAUGGGGUUUGAGAAUCCUCUUGGGAACUUGUUGACUGAAGUUGAAGAUACUGAAGUAGAUAGUGGUCAUGGCAAUAUGGAUGCGAAGCUUAGUAGCUAAGAUGUCGUGCUUGGUAAUUAGAAAGACGUUCCAUUCCUAAGUCAGCCGGGGAGGAGCUUUGGUUGUCCGUUUUGCUGUCAUUUCUGUUGUCCGGGUUAUUUCUAGGGUUGUAAUCCGAAUAUUGUCUUGCGAUCAAACCCUCUUUUACUUUCAUUUUUGUCUAACUUGUUUAGUCGUAGUGGUUCAUUUUGUGUUGUCCAUGUGUGUUUAAGGUUCAUUCUAGGGUUGUACUCCAGUUAAUUUGCUUGUUUUGUUAUUUAAGUUAUUUCAUCAUUGUCUAAUGCAAAUUUUGAUCUUUUGUUACUUUUAAUCAUUUUUUUGUUGUUUAAGGUUUUUUCUAUCCUUUUGUUUUGUCUUUUGUCUUAUACUGAUUCUAGUGACAUGACAUGCACACAUAAUUCUCAGGCGGGUCUUUGAAAGCUAUGUUACUCAGAAAGCAAUGAAACCAUUUUGAAAACGAUGGGGGUAUUGAGGAAAAUGAGAACAUAUUUGGAUGUUUGAGAUUGUUUGACGCCCGAACCAUGUGAAACUGGGGCAAGUAAAACAUAGAUAAUCCUCGUAAAAGCAAGUUGGCCAAAUUGAAGGGGGACAGUCGUGUUAAUAAGAGUAAGAGUGUUGCCCAAUAGCACAUUAUAUCUCAAAGAUGUAGAAGGAAAAUGUGUGGAAAUAGCCAUCAAUUCCGAUGCGGUCAGGAGAUGAUGUGUAUGGUUUCUUUAUUCUGAUUAUACUUGUUUGUAUUUGGCAUAUUUUGAAGUUUGAAAUAACGAAGGCAUUUUGUCCUGCUAUCUAAUCA